AGGCCUAGAGAGAACCUUCAUGGACAAUUAGCUCUUUGACUGCAGUAAAAAUGCAUCCACCAUUACUUACUGACCUAACUGCUGGAGGGCUAGUUCCUCAAAGAAUUGUUGUGAAGAUGUGAUUGAUAGUAUUCACUAACCCUUGGCAACAGCCAAUGAGGAGACAGUUACAAGUUCACCCUGGUUUUUUAACAUGUCUCCAGAAUUAUUGGCAUCUGAGAAGGUCUCCUGAGGCACAUCAUUGUGGAAGGGAUACCCCGCAGGAGGGGCAGGCUUAGAACAGCCACCAGCUCAUCUGCGAUUGCUGCCUAGUUAAUAUUUGCUCCAGCUGUGAUAAACUCCAUAUUGAAAACUUAUAAAUUGUGUUGCUUUGGCUUGCUAUAGUGAAUGCAACUAUUCGACACGGACCUCUCUCUGGGUUCUCACAUCCAGGCCAUAUCAAAAUCUUGAAGAUUCUUUUUCUGCUAAACAACUCUGAGG